AAUAAGUGCAGCUGUGGAUAUCCGUGCCCAACGUUUGACCGUUCGUCUUAUUUGAAAAAUUUGUGAAAAAUUUAAAAAUAUUUAGUCACACAUAAAGUACUAUUUAUGUUUUAUCAUUUAAUAGUAAUAAAAAUACUAAUAAAAAAAUUUCAAAUAAGACGAACGGAUAGUACAAAACUAUAUUUAUU
rnacentral:pre_miRNA from 1 species